rnacentral:rRNA from 1 species
AUGGAAAACCAUUGGCUGGAGGUUGAAGAAGCCAGAAAUAUCAUUGCUGAUUGUUGGUCGAGGGGCACCAGACACAUUCAAUCCUCUGCCUCUCUCAUAAAUUUCAAGAUGAGGAGAACAAGGGCUGCUCUUAGGAGCUGGUGCAGAAAACAGUCCAGUUUGAAGCUGCUCACGGAGAACAACAAACAUGUGGUCUCUUUUCUGAACGCUGUUGAAGAGCGGCGCAGCUUAUCUGUCUUGGAAUCUGUGCUGAGGGAGUUUGCUUCAGCCAAGGCAGAACAGCUCAUCAUUUGGCAAACGGCUCUCUGGAGACGACGUGCCAAGGUUCGCUGGUGUGUUUCGGGUGACGAAAACUGUCAGUUUUUUCAUGCUGCUGCUAACUGUCAAGCCCGGCGUAAUAAUAUCAAGGUUAUUGUCAAGGAUGGGGUGGAAUAUUUUCAAAAUAGCCAAAAGCUCAGUCUGGCUACAAGCUACUUUGCUGAGAUUCUUGGUCAGCCGGCUCUCUCGAGGCCUUCUGUGCAGUUAAGUUCAUUAUACCAACAUGUGGAUUUAUCUGAGCUAGCUGAGGCUUUUUCUUGGGCAGAAAUAGUGGAGGCCAUCAACAUAUUGCCAGCUAACAAGAGUCCGGGGCCAGAUGGUUUUACGAACGAAUUCUACAAAGCUUUUAAGCUACUACUGAAGGACGAUCUUCUCCGGUUUUUCAGUGACCUGCAUAGUAACAAUGUGUGCCUGGAUAGCAUUAAUACAGCGUUCAUAACCUUGCUGCCCAAGAAAGACACUCCUCUGGAAAUGCGUGAUUUCAGGCCAAUUUCCUUGGUACACAGUACGCCCAAGCUAGCCUCCAAGGUUAUGGCUCAUAGACUGAAAAAGAGGAUACCUGAGUUAGUCCACUUACUGCAAUCUGGGUUCAUGCGUGGCCGAUCUAUUGUGGAAAAUUUCACGUUAGCUGCUGAAAUGAUACAAUAUGCUCAUAAAAGGAGAAUGCCAGUUGUUGCCUUGAAGCUGGAUUUCCACAAAGCGUUUGACUCUGUUAGUUGGCACUGCCUGCACCAAGUGCUCGAGGCCCGAGGCUUCCCUCCAGCAUGGAAUCAGUGGGUUCGUUCUCUACUCUCCACCGGACGCUCUCGUGUUCUGAUCAAUGGCGAGCUGGGUGAUCCUAUUCUUGCCAAACGAGGGUUCCGGCAAGGCGAUUCUUUGUCACCAUAUCUAUUCAUCUUGGUAGCUGACGUACUACAGAGGAUGUGUUGUCAUCUCUUCCAAGAAGGUACUCUGCUGCAUCCCCUUGUCUCGGAUAGGUUCUUCCCAGUGCUGCAAUAUGCAGACGACACACUGAUUUUGUUCCAAGGGAACCUGCAACAGGCGGCUAUCAUCAAGAGCAUCCUCUCCCGUUUUGCGGAUUUUUCUGGGCUAAGGAUAAACUUCCACAAGAGCAUGCUUGUACCUGUCUCUAUGGACGCGGGUGUGGCAGUUGAGAUUGCUCAGCUCCUAGGGUGUCCUGUUUCGACCUUUCCUUGCACAUACCUGGGCUUACCGCUGUCUUUGCACAAGAUCACACAUGGCAUGUUGCUUCCAGUUAUUCAUAGGGUGGAUCGGAGACUAUCCGGAUGGUUGGCCACCUUCCUAUCCAUGGGCGGCAGGCUCACCCUCAUUAAUUCUGUUCUCACCGGCAUCCCGAGCUAUUUCAUGUCAUGCUUUCCAUGGCCCAAAGAAUCCAUCCAAGCUUUAGACAGUGUGCUGCGAGCUUUCUUCUGGCAGGGCAAAAACAAGGUCAAAGGGGGUCAUUGCCUCGUGGCUUGGGACAAAGUCAAUCUUCCCCGAGCAAAUGGAGGCCUGGGCAUCAGGAACCUGCAAGCACAUAAUCAGGCUAUGUUAUGCAAAUUCGCCACUAAUAUUCUGCAGCACUCUGAGGUCCCAUGCUAUCAAUGGUUCCCCAUGCAGUAUUGUAAGAGUGUUGUGCCUCACAGUGCUGGCAGCAGAGACACGGCCAUGUGGAGAGGGUUUAAAGAGUGCACUCCUAUGGUGAUCAACUCAUCGCGCUGUGUGCUGGCUCUGGAGAUUUAA